AGAGACGUGAAACCGCUUAGGGGUUAAACCCCGAUGAACCUGAAUAUCUGAAAUGAGAAAUUCAUCAGCGAGCAUAUUUAAUGGCUGUCAUUAGACAGCGUUCUAUAUUGUUUACUGUGCAAUUUUCUCAUAGUAAGACAUUGCAAUUUAUUAGUAAAUAUAUGGAUUUUCAUAAUCCUUAUAGUUUAUUAUCGGAUGAUGGUAACAUGUUUAUAUGAUUUAGUUUACUGUCACAGGUAAACGGUCGUAUAAGGUUGAAGUCAUCCAAAUAAACGGCUGAUAAAUUUAUAUAAGAAAACCAUGCUGUUACGAUCAUUUAUGAUUGUGGUUGCCCUGUUUUGCAAAAUCUUUUUUGUAUACAGGCGUUAGCAUGUGUUUGAUUAGCAAUGCGAUAGAUUUGGGAUACCUUCGGGACCCGUCUUGAAACACGGACCAAGAAGUCUAACAUAUGUGCAAGUCAUUGGGUAACUUAUUGAAACCUAAAGGCAUAAUUAAUAUAACUAUAUUAUAUAAUGGGAUUAGAAGUGGCAUAUGCAACAGCAUAUCCAUUUUUCCAUCCCGGGGCGUUCAUUUAACAUAGUUUAAGCAAUUGAACUCUCUGUUAAAGGGCGUACCUUGAGCAUAUAUGCUAUGACCCGAA
rnacentral:rRNA from 1 species